rnacentral:rRNA from 1 species
GACGAACGCUGGCGGCGUGCUUAACACAUGCAAGUCGAACGGUGAAGCGCCUUCCUUUUUGGUGGGUGUGGAUGAGUGGCGAACGGGUGAGUAACACGUGAGUAACCUGCCCCCUUCUUCUGGAUAACCGCAUGAAAGUGUGGCUAAUACGGGAUAUUCUGGUUCUGUCGCAUGAUGGGUCUGGGAAAGAUAUUGUUUCGGUGGGGGAUGGUCUCGCGGCCUAUCAGCUUGUUGGUGGGGUGAUGGCCUACCAAGGCGGUGACGGGUAGCCGGCCUGAGAGGGUGGACGGUCACACUGGGACUGAGACACGGCCCAGACUCCUACGGGAGGCAGCAGUGGGGAAUAUUGCACAAUGGGCGCAAGCCUGAUGCAGCGACGCCGCGUGAGGGAUGGAGGCCUUCGGGUUGUGAACCUCUUUCGCCAGUGAAGCAGGCCUGCCUCGUUUGUGGGUGGGUUGACGGUAGCUGGAUAAGAAGCGCCGGCUAACUA